rnacentral:rRNA from 1 species
AUUGAACGCUGGCGGCAGGCCUAACACAUGCAAGUCGAGCGGAUGAAGGGAGCUUGCUCCUGGAUUCAGCGGCGGACGGGUGAGUAAUGCCUAGGAAUCUGCCUGGUAGUGGGGGAUAACGUCCGGAAACGGGCGCUAAUACCGCAUACGUCCUGAGGGAGAAAGUGGGGGAUCUUCGGACCUCACGCUAUCAGAUGAGCCUAGGUCGGAUUAGCUAGUUGGUGGGGUAAAGGCCUACCAAGGCGACGAUCCGUAACUGGUCUGAGAGGAUGAUCAGUCACACUGGAACUGAGACACGGUCCAGACUCCUACGGGAGGCAGCAGUGGGGAAUAUUGGACAAUGGGCGAGAGCCUGAUACAGCCAUGCCGCGUGUGUGAAGAAGGUCUUCGGAUUGUAAAGCACUUUAAGUUGGGAGGAAGGGCAGUAAGUUAAUACCUUGCUGUUUUGACGUUACCAACAGAAUAAGCACCGGCUAACUUCGUG